GCAGUCGACGGGUGCCUUCGGGUGCUAGUGGCGGACGGGUGAGUAACGCGUGGGAACAUACCCUUUGGUACGGAAUAGCCUCGGGAAACUGAGAGUAAUACCGUAUGUGCCCUUCGGGGGAAAGAUUUAUCGCCAAAGGAUUGGCCCGCGUUGGAUUAGGUAGUUGGUGGGGUAAUGGCCUACCAAGCCGACGAUCCAUAGCUGGUUUGAGAGGAUGAUCAGCCACACUGGGACUGAGACACGGCCCAGACUCCUACGGGAGGCAGCAGUGGGGAAUCUUAGACAAUGGGGGAAACCCUGAUCUAGCCAUGCCGCGUGAUCGAUGAAGGCCUUAGGGUUGUAAAGAUCUUUCAGAUGGGAAGAUAAUGACGGUACCAUCAGAAGAAGCCCCGGCUAACUCCGUGCCAGCAGCCGCGGUAAUACGGAGGGGGCUAGCGUUAUUCGGAAUUACUGGGCGUAAAGCGCACGUAGGCGGAUUAGAAAGUCAGAGGUGAAAUCCCAGGGCUCAACCUUGGAACUGCCUUUGAAACUCCUAGUCUUGAGGUCGAGAGAGGUGAGUGGAAUUCCGAGUGUAGAGGUGAAAUUCGUAGAUAUUCGGAGGAACACCAGUGGCGAAGGCGGCUCACUGGCUCGAUACUGACGCUGAGGUGCGAAAGCGUGGGGAGCAACAGGAUUGAUACCCUGGUAUCCACGCCGUAACGAUGAUGCCAGUCGUCGGUAGCAUGCUAUCGGUGACACACUAA
rnacentral:rRNA from 1 species